CCAGGCCAAGAAUCCUUGGCUUCUCAGCGAUCGAUUUCCUGUUCUUAACUGUUCAUCGUUGUACGUUACGUAGAAAACCGUCGGAUGGAAACAACUGCGUGGAUCGCCAGCACGUGUUCCCGCAUCGACGCCGCACCGACGUUGCCAGGCAAAUAUUUUCCUCACCGAUGAUUCCAAAGCAGGAUAGAUAAUAAUAAUAAAAAAAAAAAGGCAGAAGAGCCUGAGCUUCCACACUCUUCUUCUCCAUCCCCUCACCCCACCGGACCAACUCUGAUCUGCGAGUUUUCCCCGUGUAGACGGCAUCAAGCCGCACAACUGGACGCCGGGGAGAAGCCAUUCAUCGAUCCGGAAGCCGAGCAGCUGCACGCCAGCGGAAGCAACGCGAGCAGAAGAACUUCGGGGAGCUCCGGAGUUGACGCCGGUGUUCGUCGACCCGGAGGGAGCUCCUGUACGCCGGCGCCGAGCAGCUGCACGCCGGCGCCGAGAGCAGCUGCACGCCUGCGCCAAGCAACAGCACCCCGACGGAACUCCUUCGUCGACUUGGCCUGGAAGCUACUGCUGCGUAGGCGCUAUCAAGCGAAGCAGCUGGAAGAAGUAUAAAGAGCUCUGGAGACUUUUCCUGCGUAGCCUCCAUAAAGUACAGCCUCCAUAGCUAGCUGCAAAGAAAAAAGCCUGAAGAAGCAUAAAAGGUCAGCUUCCAUUUUCCUCACGCCAACUUCAUCUGUGCAUUUUUAGUACUAGAGGUGUUCUGCAAAAUAAAAUCUCUGCCGGAUGGUUUGCACUGAAUCAAUGUCCUCAAUCUAUCAAGACAUCUAUUACCAUGAUUUUGAAGACCGUAGCAUCUAAAUUCUGUUUAAAACUAGGAACAGCUUUGACAGUAUAAUGAUCACAAUUGGCUCUCUGAGAAAAUACUUUGAUUGAAAAUAGCCUGAUGGUUUGCCCUGAAUUAAUGUUUUUAAUCUAUCAAGACAUUGCCAUUAUUCUAGGAACAGUUUUAACAGUAUAAUGAUCACGAUUAGCUCUCUGAUAAAAUACCUUUUAUUGAAAAUAGCCUGAUAGUUUGCCUUGAAUCAAACAUAUUUUUUGUUGCAAGUUAUUCAUCAGUGUUGUGAUGCAUAUCUCAUGAAUUCAAGAUUUGAACCAUGCUGCAAUUAAGCCCGUAUAAUAGUUUUUAGCUUUUGAGUUUUAGAAGCCCUACUUACACAUUUGCUUGCAUAUAAUGUGAUCUCUAAUUAGAUUUGGGUUUAUUUUUUUAUUGUUGGAUUGAACUAUUUAUACACAUAUACAAGAUGACAGUUGCUUAAUUAUUAAUAUCGUUGUGGAAAUCAUAUUUCUCUGGUGAAAAGUGCCAUCAGUUUUAUUUUAGUAAAAGAACACACUGAGGAUUCACAUAAGGGCGCUUAAUAGUCGACAAUUUGGCUUGAUGACAUUUGAAAGUAUUAAUUGUAGAGUCACAUGUGAUAUUGCAAUAGAACAUACCUGAUUCUUAUUACAUUUAUAUGAUAUUGUUCAAAACUUAUAUAAAAUACAUAGCAUUGUUCUAAAUAAAUAUAUAUCCCAUUUAUAUCUUCGUUUGUUGCAUCUAUUAGAUAAUUGCAAAUUACUUUUAGUUGUAAAUUACUUAGAAUCCACAGUGCAAUGGUAGAAUUGUUCUUCUGAAUACAAUGGACAGAAUUACCUCUCUGAGUGAAUAUCUUUCAUUGAUAACAUUAUUUAAUAUGUGUCUAAAAUAGUAUGAUAGAUAAAUUUACAUUUCCCCUUCUGAGUCAAAAUAAGGGGAACAAAUAAAGAAAAAAAAUGUAUUGCUAGGCUUUAAGCUUGACAGUGCCACUGAUUAGUUCAUCUCAAUAUAUACACCUUGAUUAACCAAAAGAUUAUCCAUAUAUAUUGCUAAAUAUUAAGGUAAACAGUGCUAAUGGGUCAUCUAUUAUAAAUUAUCUGUGUUUGUUACAUCUAUUAGCUAAUUGCAAAUUAGUUUAUUUUUCCUUUAGUCCUCUUCUAUGUUUCAUUCGCUGCUAUAUGAAAUGCAAAUCUAUGUUUUUGUUGCAUCCAUUAGUUAGUUACAAAUGUAUUUGCAUCUAUUAGUUACUUGGAAAUUAAUUUAUUUUUCCAUUUGUCAUUUUCCAUGUUUUAUUUUCUACUAUAUAAAAUGCAAAAUUGUCUUUCUUGCAUCAAUUACUUAGGUGCAAACAUACCAUAAGUAAAUACAUAUAUUUUAAGCAUUAUAUUACACUUUUUCUCCCUGUUUUCAUAUGUUUUCCUUGCUGUUAUAUAAAAUAGAAAUCUCUGUUUAUUACAUCUAUUAGUUGCAAAAAAAAAAAUGUCAUAUGUUGAUCGAACUCGAAGAGCACGACGUCGCCGGAAUUGUUCUUUGUCACCAAAUUCAGACAUACCAUUCAUUUAUCCUUUAGGUACGACAAUGGCACUUUAUCUUCUCUGAAAAAAUUCCUAUUCCAAAAAGAGGAGGGAAAAAAAAGUAGAUGCCAUCUUAACUUCGUUUAAAGUAGAUACCGUGCUAACUUCAUUUAACAUUAUUUAUAUAUUAUAUUAAUCAACAACCAAAUUAACAUUACAACGAUAAAUACAUGGCCACCUAUACCAGAACAAGGUUCAACCAGUAACCAAGGUAAUAUUGCUACAACAAAUACAACGACAUCUACACCAGAAGAAGGAAACACACCAUGGAUGUAUAUAGAACAUCAAAAAAGACAUCAGGAUGCAGGAAGAGAUCAUUUUUGUCCUAUAGUAUCUCCAUACGUUGCUACUGAAAAUCGUGCUAAAAGAAGACGUGUUAACCGAUACAAAGCUUUGUCGCAGCAAGGUCAUUCCUAUCCCGCUUACAUAAAAAAUACCACCGUAGACUGCAUAUAUUGUAUAGAUCAAAAUACUAUACGUAUUUGCACCAGGAACAAUUUUCUCCAAAUAAGCAGAUCUUGCAUUUCUGUACAAAUCCUCAUUG